AUUGCUUAGUAGAGCUAACUGUUAAUCAGGGGGUCGUUGGUUCGAGUCCAACUUCGGGCGCCA
rnacentral:tRNA from 1 species